rnacentral:sRNA from 1 species
UUUAACAAAUUGUGCUGAUGACGGCGAG